rnacentral:rRNA from 1 species
GACGAACGCUGGCGGCGUGCCUAAUACAUGCAAGUAGAACGCUGAAGGAGGAGCUUGCUUCUCUGGAUGAGUUGCGAACGGGUGAGUAACGCGUAGGUAACCUGCCUGGUAGCGGGGGAUAACUAUUGGAAACGAUAGCUAAUACCGCAUAAUAUUGACUAUUGCAUGAUAGUCAGUUGAAAGGUGCAACUGCACCACUACCAGAUGGACCUGCGUUGUAUUAGCUAGUUGGUGGGGUAACGGCUCACCAAGGCGACGAUACAUAGCCGACCUGAGAGGGGGAUCGGCCACACUGGGACUGAGACACGGCCCAGACUCCUACGGGAGGCAGCAGUAGGGAAUCUUCGGCAAUGGACGGAAGUCUGACCGAGCAACGCCGCGUGAGUGAAGAAGGUUUUCGGAUCGUAAAGCUCUGUUGUAAGAGAAGAACGAGUGUGAGAGUGGAAAGCUCACACUGUGACGGUAUCUUACCAGAAAGGGACGGCUAACUACGUG